GCUAACUUCGUGCCAGCAGCCGCGGUAAUACGAAGGGGGCUAGCGUUGUUCGGAAUCACUGGGCGUAAAGCGCACGUAGGCGGACCAUUAAGUCAGGGGUGAAAGCCUGGAGCUCAACUCCAGAACUGCCUUUGAUACUGAUGGUCUCGAGUAUGGAAGAGGUUGGUGGAACUGCGAGUGUAGAGGUGAAAUUCGUAGAUAUUCGCAAGAACACCGGUGGCGAAGGCGGCCAACUGGUCCAUUACUGACGCUGAGGUGCGAAAGCGUGGGGAGCAAACAGGAUUAGAUACCCUAGUAGUC
rnacentral:rRNA from 1 species